rnacentral:rRNA from 1 species
GACGAACGCUGGCGGCGUGCCUAAUACAUGCAAGUUGAGCGCUGAAGGUUGGUACUUGUACCAACUGGAUGAGCAGCGAACGGGUGAGUAACGCGUGGGGAAUCUGCCUUUGAGCGGGGGACAACAUUUGGAAACGAAUGCUAAUACCGUAUAAAAACUUUAAACACAAGUUUUAAGUUUGAAAGAUGCAAUUGCAUCACUCAAAGAUGAUCCCGCGUUGUAUUAGCUAGUUGGUGAGGUAAAGGCUCACCAAGGCGAUGAUACAUAGCCGACCUGAGAGGGUGAUCGGCCACAUUGGGACUGAGACACGGCCCAAACUCCUACGGGAGGCAGCAGUAGGGAAUCUUCGGCAAUGGACGAAAGUCUGACCGAGCAGCGCCGCGUGAGUGAAGAAGGUUUUCGGAUCGUAAAACUCUGUUGGUAGAGAAGAACGUUGGUGAGAGUGGAAAGCUCAUCAAGUGACGGUAACUACCCAGAAAGGGACGGCUAACUACGUG